GGCAGGGCCGUUUUUUCACUUCGCUCCCUAGCUACUUCUCGUCCUACUCCUGUCCAAAACAACUGGAUAGAUAAACGCGAUAUAGCAGGAAGCAUCAAUUAGCCUAUCCACAGGUUAGCAGGAGUCUAUAUCAGGAAGGGAACAUUGAAGGGGAGUUUGGAGUGGGCAAGGGGGAGGCUGAAGACCUGAUUCAUCAAGUAUCAUUUAAUUCAGGUGAUUCUCACCUGGUUGGCAUGCAUGCACAACAUGACAAGACACUUUAAUCUGACACUCUUGUUAAUGUUUGACGUCAGGCAAAACGUCUUCAGCCACCGUAGGACGGAGAGCCUCUGGUUGGCAUUUGACGGCAGUGUCUGUACCAGGAAAGGAAGUUAGAAGAUAGGGCCCCAUGAUAUCGAAGUUUCUUACCAUUUCCACUGCAGCCCAGUUGAUAUCGAUUUUAAAAACCUAGAACAAUAGAUUGUGUAGCACAAUGUACAACUCCAGUUUGCCUAUUGUCACAACAAAUGUCAAUUAUACAUUUUUACAUACGUCAGAGUGCAUUUUAUUUUAUAGCUCUGCUUUCAACGCCAUCCUGACCUAGAAACUGGUUAGCAGACUCAGGGUUCUGGGUGUAAAUUCUGUAAUAACAAAUUUAGAUUUUUUUACAUUAUCAUGAGAAUGUGUAUCCCCAGAAUGGACCCGACACUACCAUGGUACACAUAAGUACAUGAAGGAGCUGUGGGACCUGACAUAAUGGUGAUACGUCAACAGUCUCAGCGUAAACAAAACAAAGUAGCUGGUGAUACUUGACCAUUCUCCAGAAAAGCAGAAAAGGAUAUCUCCAUGUCAUCUCCAUGUCAAUGUACAGUAGAUGUACUGUACAUUGACAUGGAGAUGAUCAGCAGCUUCAAGUUCCUGGGCACCCUGAUAUCCUUUUCUGCCCUCAGUUACUUCAAUCAAAGUCCCACUUGUGCUUCUCCACUACCCUUAAACUUGCUGCACCAUGACCUAUGUACCAACUACAGUGUCUUUUGCCAUUACACAUGUAAAUGAAAUGUCCAUAUUUACUGGAAGAUUUAUUUAUGGUAACAUAGUCCCUUGACAUACAUGACUUAACUACUUUGCAUAAUGCUCAGUUUACCCACUAAGAAAUCAUACAUGUAUUAAAAUAUUAAAGCUGCA